GAUGAACGCUGGCGGCGUGCCUAACACAUGCAAGUCGAGCGGCAGCGAGGGGUGCUUGCACCCUGUCGGCGAGCGGCGGACGGCUGAGUAACGCGUGGGAACGUGCCCCAAAGUGAGGAAUAACUGCCCGAAAGGGUAGCUAAUACCGCAUAUUAUCUUCGGAUCAAAGGAUUUAUCCGCUUUGGGAGCGGCUCGCGUCGGAUUAGGUAGUUGGUGAGGUAAUGGCUCACCAAGCCGACGAUCCGUAGCUGGUCUGAGGGGAUGACCAGCCAGACUGGAACUGAGACACGGUCCAGACUCCUACGGGAGGCAGCAGUGAGGAAUCUUCCACAAUGGGCGAAAGCCUGAUGGAGCAACGCCGCGUGCAGGACGAAGGCCUUCGGAUUGUAAACUGCUUUUAUAAGUGAGGAAUAUGACGGUAACUUAUGAAUAAGGAUCGGCUAACUACGUG
rnacentral:rRNA from 1 species